AAUUGUGAUUGAGUGUGCAUGGCUGGUUCAAAUAUCUUGUAUGCUGCAUGGUUCAUGUGCUUUGGGGUGUAAUUUAAGUUUCUGGAAUCACGGGCUUCUGGGAGGAGUUUGCUGUACUGCUGACUGUUGAGUAUGCUGGGCUGGUUUCAUUUCGCGAAUAAUGUUAUUUCCAAUUGAGUGUCCUUGCCAGGAAAAUUACAUUGACUGUGGAUAUUAUGUGAUGAGAUUCAUAAAGGAGAUAAUCUCACACAAGCGACUUCAAAUUCUUGAAGUUAAGGAGAUGGAGAUUUCAAUAAAACUGAAAAAGCUCGGCGAGCCUGCUGGUGGUACUUUAUUUGGUAAAACU